rnacentral:lncRNA from 1 species
GCUGGGGAAAGAAAGGAGAUGGGGCAGCAGCAGGAGGACCAGAAUCUUCUUUGGGGUAAAAUACAGAAACUGUGAUCAGAGGAGAUCAGCCUGUUGGCUUGGGCUGCACCCAGUGGGCACCUGUCUGCAAUGUGGAUGAGGGAGGCUGCAGGGGGCUGGGCCAGUGAGGAGUCAAGUUCAGCAUGAAGAAGGAAGGUGUCGGUGCCUGAAGAUGUCUUGGAUGUAGCAUUUACCUAUAAGUGGGAAGAACGAUCAGAGUCAUCUGCAAGGUCAUGCUGGAAGGUCAACACUGAGCCUCUUUUCCCAGGAAGAUGGAGUAGACAUAUGUUUUUCCCUAUUUCUCCCACUGUGCACAAAUAGAAUCCCUGGACAUUAUAUAUAAAAUAUAUGAAAGAAGACUCUUAAAGAUGGAGAGAAGAAAAUAGACCUGCUAGGGGCCUCAGGACACAAGGAACAACAUGGUGGUGCCUGCAGAAAAUAUGCCAAGAUAGAUGAUACCCUGUGAGAUAAACCAAACCUCAACAAAUCUAAACGAAAUAAAAUCAUGUAGAGUCUAUUUUCCAACCACAAGGAUUCAAACCAGAAAGACUGCAAGGAAGAGAGACACAGUAGAAUUGCAGGAAAAUCUCCAAAUACAUUCUUAAAUAGUUCCUGGAUCAAAAAGGAAGUCUAAUGGAAAAUCAAAAAAUGCAUUGGAAAAUUUUUUAAAAUGCAUUGAAUUGAAUGGAAAUGAAAAUACAACAUUAUCAGCAUUUGUGGGACUGAGAUAUAGCAGCAUUGAGAGAGAAAUUAUAGCACUAAGAAAUUAAAAAAAAAAACCCAAAGCAAGUAGAAGGAACAAAA